rnacentral:rRNA from 1 species
UGCUACGUUGCUCCUGGAGGUCAGUGGUAAUGAGGUUUGACAGUGGCUCCAUCGGGAACGCUGGCGGAUGUUUUUCAUGGCAAUGAACGUUGCGCACGGACUUUCUGGUCUGGUGGCGAGUGGCGAACGGGUGAGAAUGUAUCGGAACGCGUCGAAGGGGUGAAUCAUUGCGAGCAGGUUGGUCAGGCAUAACGCCGGGGGGAAAGCGGGGACCUUCGGCCCUGCACUAUUAGAGCGGCCACGAUAUCGGAUCAGCUAGUUGGUGGGGUAACGGGCUCAUCAAGGCGACGAUCCGUAGCUGGUUUGAGAGGACGACCAGCCACACUGGGACUGAGACACGGCCCGACUCCUACGGAGGCAGCAGUGGGGAAUUUUGGACAAUGGGGAAACCCUGAUCCAGCCAUCCCGCGUGCGAUAAGGCCUUUCGGUUGUAAAGCACUUGGCAGGAAAGAAACGGCACGGGAUAAUACUCCCGUGCAACUGACGGUACCUGCAGAAUAAGCACCGGCGCAACUGCCGCCGCAAGCGUCGUAAUGACAGGGUGCAAGCGUUAAUCGGAAUUACUGGGCGUAAGCGUGCGCAGGCGGUUCGCCUGGAAAACAGUGAUGAAAUCCCGCAUUUAACUUUGGAACUGCAUUUUUAACUACCGAGCCAGAGUGUGUCAGUGGGAGGUGGACUCCGCGCAGAAGUGGUGAAAUGCGUAGAUAUGCGGAGGAACACCGAUGGCGAAGGCAGCCUCCUGAUAACACUGACGCUCAUGCACUGAGUGGGAGCAAAACAGGAUUAGAUACCCUGGUAGUCCACGCUCCUAAACGAUGUCAAUUCAGCUGCGUUGGGGCCUUCGGGCCUUGGUAGCAGCUAACGCGUGAAGCGACCGCCUCGGGGAGUACGGUCGCAAGAUUAAACUGUAAAGGAAUUUGAUGGGACCGCAACAAGCGGUGGAUGAUGUGAUUAAUCUGAUAAUGCUAAAACCCUUUACCACUUUGACAUGUCUGAACCCAAUGAGAUUAUGCUCGCAAGAGAACCGAACACAGGUGCCGCAUGGCUGCCGCCGCCGCUCGCCGAGAUGUUGGGUUAAGUCCGUGAAUGAGCGCAACCUUUGUCAUUAGUUGCUGGCCAGGUAAGCGGCACUUUGACGAUGACAGAUAAACCGGAGUGCGUAGCUGUGGAUGACGUCAAGUCCUCUGUUUGCGGUAGGGCUUCACACGUCAUACAAUGGUCGGGACAGAGGGUCGCUAACCCGCAGAGGGGGAGUCAACCGAACUGAUCGCAGUCCGAUCGCAGCCUGCAACUCGACUGCAGUCGGAAUUGCUAGUAAUCGUGAUCACAUGAACAGGCAGACGGUUCUGGUCUAUAUAUACACUGCCCGUCACACCAUGGAGUGGGUUUUACCAGAUGGCAGCCCAACCGCAAGGAGGGCGAUUACCACGGCAGGAUUCAAGAAUGGUAGAAGUCGGAACAGCGCAA